rnacentral:rRNA from 1 species
CCUACGGGAGGCAGCAGUGGGGAAUAUUGCACAAUGGGCGCAAGCCUGAUGCAGCCAUGCCGCGUGUGUGAAGAAGGCCUUCGGGUUGUAAAGCACUUUCAGCGGGGAGGAAGGCGUUAAGGUUAAUAACCUUGUCGAUUGACGUUACCCGCAGAAGAAGCACCGGCUAACCCCGUGCCAGCAGCCGCGGUAAUACGGAGGGUGCAAGCGUUAAUCGGAAUUACUGGGCGUAAAGCGCACGCAGGCGGUCUGUCAAGUCGGAUGUGAAAUCCCCGGGCUCAACCUGGGAACUGCAUUCGAAACUGGCAGGCUAGAGUCUUGUAGAGGGGGGUAGAAUUCCAGGUGUAGCGGUGAAAUGCGUAGAGAUCUGGAGGAAUACCGGUGGCGAAGGCGGCCCCCUGGACAAAGACUGACGCUCAGGUGCGAAAGCGUGGGGAGCAAACAGGAUUAGAUACCCCUGUAGUC